rnacentral:rRNA from 1 species
GACGAACGCUGGCGGCGUGCUUAACACAUGCAAGUCGAACGGAAAGGCCCUGCUUUUGUGGGGUGCUCGAGUGGCGAACGGGUGAGUAACACGUGAGUAACCUGCCCUUGACUUUGGGAUAACUUCAGGAAACUGGGGCUAAUACCGGAUAGGAGCUCCUGCUGCAUGGUGGGGGUUGGAAAGUUUCGGCGGUUGGGGAUGGACUCGCGGCUUAUCAGCUUGGUGGUGGGGUAGUGGCUUACCAAGGCUUUGACGGGUAGCCGGCCUGAGAGGGUGACCGGCCACAUUGGGACUGAGAUACGGCCCAGACUCCUACGGGAGGCAGCAGUGGGGAAUAUUGCACAAUGGGCGGAAGCCUGGUGCAGCAACGCCGCGUGCGGGAUGACGGCCUUCGGGUUGUAAGCCGCUUUCGCCUGUGACGAAGCGUGAGUGACGGUAAUGGGUAAAGAAGCACCGGCUAACUACGUG